GGAAAUAAACAACUCACAAGUUCCAGACAGUACCUGAAACUCAGAAAAUUCAUAGGUAUCUGUCUCAAAGCUAUCUAAACAGUAAUGGAUUUGGGAGAGGACACUGUCCCAGUGUGUGAGUUACCUGAAAGGCUCUAGACAGCUCAACUGCCUGUGAGUCACGGAGAGAGCUCCUGGAAGCAGGAUUCCUGAGGAAUUAGCUGUAUUUUGUGGGAUGAUUACGCUGCUAUUGAUUUCAAGUCAUCUAUGUUGCUAUGCUGAGAGAGGCUGAAGGAACAUCUGUCUCCUUAUCACAGGACCAUCAGCUGGGAACAUUCUACACACCUGCCCCUUCCCUUCCUCCAGGAUGCAGCAGGCAUCAAGACACCUCAGGCUUACUUCAUGCAUUUUCUAAGACCCAGGGCGUUUUCAUACUCAAUCACAACGCUCGCACAUAAAGUAAUCAGCAUUGAUUAGAAGUCAUGGCACAAUACAAAACGUUUCCUCAGUGCAGCAGC
ensembl:lincRNA Gm44272 predicted gene, 44272